GUGUCAGCCGCCGCGGUAAUACAGGGGGUGCAAGCGUUGUCCGGAAUCACUGGGCGUAAAGGGCGCGUAGGCGGCCUGGUAAGUCGGAGGUGAAACGCUGCGGCUCAACCGCAGCACUGCCUUCGAGACUGCCUGGCCUGAGCGCGGUAGAGGCUGGUGGAAUUCCCGGUGUAGCGGUGGAAUGCGUAGAGAUCGGGAAGAACAUCGGUGGCGAAGGCGGCCAGCUGGGCCGUUGCUGACGCUGAGGCGCGACAGCGUGGGGAGCAAACAGGAUUAGAUACCCGCGUAGUCC
rnacentral:rRNA from 1 species